rnacentral:rRNA from 1 species
AGGAUUGACUGCAAGGCAAAGAUUCGAGUCAAAAAGAGGAAGGAUGGCAAAUUUGUGAUAGAAAUGGUUGAACUAAACCAUAAUCACAAGAUGCUGAAGCCCGGGAUGCUUUUGUACAUGCGAUCACACAAAAAAGACGAUCCUUUGAUAGACCAGUUAGUGAAAGACAUGCAACUGGACAACCACACACACGCUCAAAUAAUUUCAAUGCUAUCGCAUAUGUCCGGUGGUCUACAGUACAUGGGACAUACUAGCCGCGACUGGGUAAACAAGAAACAAAAGUUUGCCAGAGAAGAGUCCCAUGAUGACGUCAAGAAACUUCUGGAUUUCAUCAAGAAGAUGCAGAAGAUAAACCCAGAGUUCUUCUAUGAUUAUGACGUUGAUGCAGGUUGCAAAGGAUCGUAUGAAGAUUUUGGAGACUGCGUUACAUUUGACACGACAUAUAAAACUAACAAAUUCCACAUGCCGCUGGGAGUCUUCGUGGGAGUGAAUGAUCAUCUACAGAGCACCAGAUUUGCUGUUGCCCUCGUGCGAGAUGAAACAAUACCGUUGUUCGAGUAGGUUUUCAAAAACUUUCUGAGGUGUAUGAACAACAAGCCGCCAAUCUGCAUGCUCACAGACCAGUGUUCUUCGAUGAAGGUAGCAUUAAAAACUAUCCUCCCAGAUACACUACAUAAGUUGUGUCGGUGGCAUAUCAUGAAGAAGUACAAAGACCACCUCGCCUUGUUGUAUAAGGUGCACAAGAAACUCAAGGAUGACCUCAAUGCAGUGCUGAACCACCCACUAAUGCCGUCAGAAUUUGAACAAGCAUGGAAGGACCUCAUUCAGAGAUACAACUUGUAAAAUGACGAAGUGAAGAAUUCGCUGUGGGAUGACAGGCAUGAGUGGAUCUCGGCUUACUACAAGGAAUUCUGUGCUUGGAUGAGUUCCACGCAGAGAAGCGAGAGCAUGAACCGCAUACUGAAGAAAAACUUUGUCAAAGAGAACCAUGAUCUCCAUCUGUUUGCUCAGCAGGUGGACAAGUGCAUUCGGACCAGGAAGGCCGUUGAGCACGUAGAGACAGUAGCAAAUGAGGUAAACAAAAUGUCCAUCAAAAACUACUAA